rnacentral:rRNA from 1 species
CCUACGGGUGGCAGCAGUGAGGAAUAUUGGUCAAUGGACGGAAGUCUGAACCAGCCAUGCCGCGUGCAGGAUGACGGCUCUAUGAGUUGUACACUGCUUUUGUACGAGAAUAAUAGUUCUUACGUGUAGGGAUUUGAAUGUAUCGUACGAAUAAGGAUCGGCUAACUCCGUGCCAGCAGCCGCGGUAAUACGGAGGAUUCGAGCGUUAUCCGGAGUGACUGGGUGUAAAGAGUUGCGUAGGUGGCAUAAUAAGUAGCUAGUGAAAUCUGGUGGCUCAACCAUUCAGACUAUUAGCUAAACUGUUAAGCUCGAGACCGUUAGGGGUAACUGGAAGUUCUAGUGUAGGAGUGAAAUCCGUAGAUAUUAGAAAGAACACCGAUAGCGUAGGCAGGUUACUGGGACGGUUCUGACACUAAGGCACGAAAGCGUAGGGAGCAAACGGGAUUAGAUACCCUUGUAGUC